rnacentral:rRNA from 1 species
AUGUACCAUGGGUGGGAUUCUUACUACUAUCAAAGAGUUCCACAUGACACCACAUUGUGUGGCUCUUUUUGGUGGAGAGACAUUAGUAAGUUAAUGGAUAAAUAUAGAGCUGUAACAUCUGUUUCUGUUGGCAAAGGGGAUUCGGUGCUCUUUUGGUCUGAUCAUAGGGAGAUUGGACAAUCCUCUAUACCUCUGCAGGAAAGAUUCCCACGACUCCAUUCAUUUUGCCUUCAGAAGAACCUUUCUGUUAAGGAAGUGAUAAUGGCAGGAAACUUGCAACAAAUGUUUACUCUGCCUUUGUCUGAACUGGCUUUUAGGGAGUUCAAUCAGCUUACUUCAAUGUUAUCAGGGAGACAAUUGGAUGAUACUUGUGAUGAUAGGUGGACCUGGAGACAUGGAAAAAAGGGUGAAUAUUCUGCGAAAAAAUUCUAUGAAUUUGUUCAUCAGCCUGUUGUUGCCAAUCCAAUUCUGAGUUGGGUUUGGAAAAGCUGUUGCACAAUGACAGUUAAAAUGUUUGCUUGGUUGGUUAUUAUGGAUCGAGUAAACACAAAGGAUAUGAUACAACGAAGACAGUGGAAAAUUAAUGAUGGACCUGGUUGUGUACUCUACCCCACUGCAGUUCUGGAAGAUAGAAAUCAUCUAUUCUUCCAAUGCAAUUUCAGCAUGAGGAUUUGGAACUACUUGCAAAUACCCUGGUUGAACAGCAAUGAUAUGGUGCAAAUUGCCUUACAUGCAAAGAAGGAAUUUGAUAAACCAUUUUUUGCUGAGGUGGUCUUUCUUGCCUGGUGGAACAUCUAG